rnacentral:rRNA from 1 species
AUUUAGAGGAAGUAAAAGUUGUAACAAGGUCUCCGUAGGUGAACCUGCGGAGGGAUCAUUACACAAAUAUGAAGGCGGGCUGGAACCUCUCGGGGUUACAGCCUUGCUGAAUUAUUCACCCUUGUCUUUUGCGUACUUCUUGUUUCCUUGGUGGGUUCGCCCACCACUAGGACAAACAUAAACCUUUUGUAAUUGCAAUCAGCGUCAGUAACAAAUUAAUAAUUACAACUUUCAACAACGGAUCUCUUGGUUCUGGCAUCGAUGAAGAACGCAGCGAAAUGCGAUAAGUAGUGUGAAUUGCAGAAUUCAGUGAAUCAUCGAAUCUUUGAACGCACAUUGCGCCCUUUGGUAUUCCAAAGGGCAUGCCUGUUCGAGCGUCAUUUGUACCCUCAAGCUUUGCUUGGUGUUGGGCGUCUUGUCUCUAGCUUUGCUGGAGACUCGCCUUAAAGUAAUUGGCAGCCGGCCUACUGGUUUCGGAGCGCAGCACAAGUCGCACUCUCUAUCAGCAAAGGUCUAGCAUCCAUUAAGCCUUUUUUUCAACUUUUGACCUCGGAUCAGGUAGGGAUACCCGCUGAACUUAAGCAUAUCAAUAAC